AUACGGAGGAUCCAAGCGUUAUCCGGAUUUAUUGGGUUUAAAGGGUGCGCAGGCGGAAAGGUAAGUCAGUGGUGAAAUCCUACAGCUCAACUGUAGAACUGCCAUUGAUACUGCUUUUCUUGAGUAUAGCUGAAGUGGGCGGAAUGUGUCAUGUAGCGGUGAAAUGCUUAGAUAUGACACAGAACACCGAUCGCGAAGGCAGCUCACUAAACUAUAACUGACGCUCAUGCACGAAAGCGUGGGGAUCAAACAGGAUUAGAUACCCUGGUAGUCCACGCCGUAAACGAUGAUCACUCGAUGUUGGCGAUAUACAGUCAGCGUCUGAGCGAAAGUAUUAAGUGAUCCACCUGGGGAGUACGAUCGCAAGGUUGAA
rnacentral:rRNA from 1 species